GUGUAUUCGAAUUACAUCUCUGUUAGUGUACACAGGAGGUGUGUAUGUACAUCUUUGGCGCCCGACCUGGAGCGCCGGUGGACUGCUUUGGCAUCAGAUAAUGUAAAUGAAGACAGACCAGUUCCUUUUGUAGUGAGACAGCUAGGAUCUUUUCAUUUGAAAAUGCAUUUGGGUCGUGGCGGGAGGCGGUGUUUGAAGCCAUCACCCUCCUCCCGAGUCCUCAGCGGGUGAGGCGGAUGCACCGUGGGGAUGGAGGAGGGAGGGUUGGGCGCCAAAGCCAGUUUGGACCGGAUUGACGACUCAGUUUUUAUUGGUGCCUUUUACUUGAUUGUUUGACUUUGGGGAGUUUUUGAUAUCGAGGCAUUACUCGCGGACCAAUCACAGCUCUCUGUGCACAAAGGGAGGAUUCCAGUUGGCCGAGGCAGUUGGAGGCGGGGCAUAAGGGGCCACUUAGUGACUUCACAAAACGAAGGGUCAGGACAUUUACGGGCCGCCGUGAUAUAAGGGAGGAAAAAAAGCCCGAGCCACAAGAGCAACGUCUUUGUGCGGAGUUGGCAUGCGCAGCUUUUAUUGGAUUUCCAGACCAUUUUUUCAUGUAUUUAUUUUGAAACCUUUCAAAGUCAAAGCUUGGACCAUGUGGCUUCGCUUGCAGCGUGAGAGGAUGGGUAGCCUUAGGGGUUGGUUGUUAUCUUUGGUUAUCUAGCUGUAUGAGUGAUGUACAUUCUUCAUAAAGCUAGAUAACCGAAAGUAACAAGAAUCCCAUUACACUCCUGAAAAGGCAUCAAGACCCCAAAACGCCGCACAAACUCUACAAGCAACAAGAGAGCAGAACAUGGGAGAUGGGAGUGGACAGCAGCAGAAGGUUUCCAGCGCCUCACCACUGAAGGGACGCUGGCAAAAGGAGACUGAAAACAGAGAAGAAGAAUAUGGAGGAGGAGGAGGGGUUGCUGUUGAUUCUGCCCUCCCUCUCUCCUCACCCUCCUCUGCAUCGCCUCCUCCCUUCCUCCCUUCCUCCUCCGCUCCAUCCUCAGCCCCUUUUCCCCGUGCAGCGAGACGCAGCCCUCGCCACCAUCUUAGAGCAACGCUGGCAUGAAAUGGAAGUGGAAAGACCAGUGCAGGUAAACACACCGACCGACCAAACCCCCGACCCUCCACCUUCUCCGCCUCCCUUCUUCCUUUUGUUUUUAAUCACCUCGGUUAUGUUUGUUAAUUGCACGAUUCACAGCGAUGGGUGGGGGGUGGGGGGGGCGUGAUACGUGUGUUCACAUGAAAUCACUCUGCUCUCAACGCGCCUUCCAGUGGGCAUCUGUCCUCUGAAGCGCCAUGUUUCUCGUUGCCGUUUGGGAACCAUCGUGCCACCCUCACACUCGUGCCCCAACAUGGCGGCGACGGCUGCCAUUUUGGAGACACGACACAUGCCGUGCCUUCUGGACGUUGCAGUGACACAAUUCACGACUCCAUGUAGUUGCGCUCGGCAGUAUAUCUUGCCCACAGACCAUAGUUUGCUGCAACAGACGGUUCUUCGUUCUACAUUUAUUUUUUUUAAAAACAGCUUUUCUUCAACUCCUUAAAAGGGGUCGGGAGAAAUGUCAAGGUGAGCACAUCUCUGGAGUGGAAAGGGAUGAUAUCCAUGAACAGCGACACUGCAGGAUGAAACAAAACCAACUCAAAGCAGGAAGAGAUGGGGAAGGUCUCAGCACUGGAAAGCUUCUCUUUGUGCGAGUGUUUGAGGGUGCUCAGACAAGUCGAGUAUUGUUCUCCCUGAGCGAGCUCGUUACAGCAUUAUUCCAACCGGAGAGCUCACAACUUUGAAAACCGCUUAAAACCAAAACACCAAUUAGUAUUGGCCGGGCUUGAUUAGGUGAGGCAGCCGGUAAACAAUGCACACCAUUGUCCCCGCGAACACAGAGAGCUCCCUUUGUGUGUGUCGACGGUGUCGAGGUCAGAGAGACAAUGCUAACUUACAGUCCAUAAGGCUGGCAGAGAGACGGCUGUGGGGUCAAGGUGACAGACGAAAAUGAAACUGUUGCUAGACAAAGGAAAUCAUGGAGGGUCCGAGGUGACUUGAUAUCAGAGAAUCAGUUGGUGAAAGUUUGAGGUGUUUAGUUUCUCAAAUGAUUUCCAAUAUUUACAAACCUUAAUCAAUCAAAGUUUAUUUAAAUUGCCCAAUAUCACACAUUUGACCCUCUGUCCUUAGACCCUCACAUCGGACAAGGAAAGUCCCCAAAGAAACCUAUAAUGUUAUAAAACUCGAAAAGAAAGAGGACGGACUUACAUAUCGAAGUCGUGUGGAAUUAAAAAAGUUAAUACAUUUACAACAUAGUCCAAAUGCUAGAAAAAUCUUAAGUAGUGCUCGUUUUGAAAUGAGGUCAUGCCAAGCUUUCUGCAUUUACAAAACAUACAAAUAUGACAAGGAAAGUACCCAAGGAAACCUAUAAUGUAAAUAGGAGGGAUCCGUCUCCAAGGACACACAUACAUAUCGAAGCCGUGUGUAAAUUAAAAAGAUAAUACAUUAACAAGAUGCCAGAAAAAUCUUCAGUCGUGCUCGUUUUGAAAUGAGGUCAUGCCAAGCUUUUCAGAAUUUGAAUUUUUUUAUUUUCCGCCGCCGCCACCUUUAAAAGCGAAGGCGUUCCUCUCGAUGUUAACUGUGUCAAACUCGAGGCGCACUAAUUACGGCCGGCCGCCAUAAAACAGGUGGUGGAUUGAGCUGAAGGGGCCGUUCUCAAUUUACUGUGUAAAUUAUGCAGAGCCCAAAACAAUGCAGACAGUAGACAGUGGAGAGGCUGGCGGUGGCUAAUGAGAUGAUGAGAAGGAGGUGUUUUGGGGGGGGGGUAGGCAGCUUGUGUCUGGACCAGGGGAGCAGACACUGUCCCGUCUGAGGGGGGGGGGGGCGGGCAGCUGGGCCCCCAUUGCACCACCAUCCUUGGGAACCUCUGUGGAAAAGGGGCCCCCCAAUAGUCUGUCUGCAAAACCCCCAUCACCACCACCACCGAACAACAACACAACAAAAGGCUUUAUUGUCGUACGCGUCAAAUGAUCAUACAAUCAUUCAAAACAUUUAGUCUUACUCUGACUCAAGACUCAAGACUCAAGACUCAAAGGUCUUUAUGCACAACGCCACAGAGUGGAAAUGGACAUGAAAUGCUUCUGACCUGAGCUCCUCCAAAAGUCCAAAAUAAAAAGUGGUCCAAAAAGUGUUAAAUUGUAUUUUCAGUCUGAUGAAGCUGCUCUGCUCCCGCAUUCGAGAUCGACUUCACUUCUAAGAAAAGACUAACGUUGUCCUUGAAUCAUUGAUCAGUUUCUCUUAAGAAGUUCCUCCACAGCACGCAAUGAGAAACUCCUCCAACAAUGCUAGAUAUAUACGAGACAUAAAUACAAUUAAUAAAACGAGAAUUUAGGAUUUGUUGUUGUCACAGCAGAAUGUUAAAACAAAGGCAUUGGAAAUAAACAUCUCAAAACAAAAGAAUAAAACAGAAUUCAAAGUAAAUGACAUGACAGUGAAAGAUAACACCUGUAGACUAUCCGUCAAAUAAGCAGAAUGACCGGCCAAUUAACAGCUAACAACAUUUAAAAGUAGGAUAUCAUUUGGUGUUAUUCAUUAAGAAGGCAAAGAAUAUCAUAUUCAAUUAAAAGGACAAAAUGAAGUAGUGGAAGAGACUAGUCUUACGGCCUGCUCCAACAACUGGACAUCUUCUGAUGAGAACAUGCUUUACACCGGACACCUUUAACUGAAGAGGUCACAAUGCAGGGAGAUUCAGGCUCCUGCUUUUAGGUCAAAGACUUGAACACAUCUCAUCUUGAGUUGCAUCUCAGAUCUCAGUUAAGCUGCUGCGGUAUUUUUCUAUAAGAUGGAACAUUUUAGUUUCAACAAAUAAAUCUCACUUGAUUUUAGAAAACACAUUUUUAUUGGAAAAUCACCACAUCAGAAAACCUUUGAGCAUUUCUGACUUGAUCCUUGUAGUUUAAAAUAAGCUUUCUCAUCUGACUACAAGACAUCAUUUAUCUAAAUAUCCCGUCUUACUUCCAGAACUCUCCCCAGGCUAAAUGUCACUUUAUCUAUCGGCCGAUUUCUUCACUUAUUACAAGCGAACGCCUUGUUUUUAUGAUCUUUUACUUGAUUUUGGAGCAGCAUUUUUUCCAAUGUCGUGGGAUAAAACUGUCCCAUCUCCUCCUCCCGCUUUCCUCCCCCUCCCCCUCCUCCCUCCCUAAUGUGAGUUUGGGGGCCUGGGAAGGACUUCAAGUUCAUGUCCAGACCUCCUAUUGAGCUGACAGCUGACUGUUUGCUCAAUUCGGGGUCUCUAUUCAGAGAAAGGGCUGGAGGAUGGGUGUUGCUAGAUGGGAGCACUGUGAUAGCUAUUCAUUC